CAAGAAUGUGGAUGGUGAUGGCCAUGGUGCAAGACUCAGCUUCAGUGGGGGCUGCUCCCAGGAUGUCGGGCUCACGGACCCCUCUCAUUGAUGCCAGUCUCAGGUGGCUCUAUCCCUGGAAGAACAUUCAGGUCAUUUUUGCAUCAUUUGAUCCUUGAAACUAUACUAAGAAGGGGUCAGAGUGAUAUCACCGUUUUCUCAAAUGUGAGAAUGAACACUGGCAAGAUAAAGUGACUUAUUCAAACGUACCCAGAGAGCUGAUGAGAAAGUCAAGCCUAGGAAGCAUACACACUAAAUAAUGUCACUGGAGACAAGACGUAGCCCCAUUUUCCAUCUUGUAGUCCCAGUCUCAACCUCUGGUUUAUUCUCCUGAGAAUCAAUAAUGAUACAGAAGCAGAGCUGGGGAGUGGAACUGAAAUUUCUCAAUUUGGGACACAAUCUUGCUCUCAGUUAUUGAUACAGAAGUUGACACAUAAAAAGUGAAGGGUAAUUCAAACCAACAUUAUCAUAUCUGCUAAAACUUCUAAGUGUCCAAUUCUUGAUUGUGAAAAUCAUGUAUUUGCACCA
rnacentral:lncRNA from 1 species